GCUGAGGUUUCAGGCCCCGUUUUGCUGCUCACUAGCUACAUGAUCUUGGGCAAGUUAUUUAAGCUCUCUGAGCUUCACUUUCUUCCUCUGCAGAAUGGGGAUGAAAGCAGACUACUACCUCAUGGCAUGUUUUGAGGAUGAAAUGAGCUAAUAAACACAGUCUUCAGCCCUACAUUAGGAUGGCCUAAGGAAAACAGGAAGACUGAAUGAUAUUCCCUGCUGACUUAUGUAAGUUAUUAGUCUUCUAGAAGGAUCACAGGGAACCAGCAUCAAAGAAAUGGAAUCCAGCUAAUUCCUCCAAGAAACUGAAGUUUUCAGGACAUGACUUGUGAAAGGCAAACAUAAGCUGACAUCUUUUCACGCUGAAUAGCAAGAGCCAAAGUGUAUCCGAAAAGCCAUUGUCAAAACAAGGAGUGAGAACAGCUGGGGUCAAGACCUAAUGAAGUGCAUCACUGAGCCUCUCUGAGCCUCAGAUUCCUCAUUUGUAAAAUGAGCAUAAUAAUACCUCACAGGGUAGUUACGACGGCGAAUGAGAUAAUAGGCAUGAAGGCACCUGUACACUCCACGGUGCUAUCAGAAUAUUGACUAUUAGUGCUUUCAUCACAGGACUCCAUCCAAACCUCUGCUUUCCCUCACUGCAACAGGAUUUCACUCUGUCACCCAGGCUGGAGUGCGGUGGUGCAAUCUUGGCUCACUGAAACCUCUGCCUCCUAGGUUCAAGCUAUCCUCCCACCUCAGCAUCCCGAGUAGCUGGAACUACAGGCAACCUCGCGGUUCCCCGCUACAGGGAGGUCACCCUCUUGAUGCUGAAUUUAGCACGGACACCUGAUGGGCACAGUGCACUGCUGCCCAGAGCUCCCAGGCUCAAGCCAUCCUCCUGCCUCAGCCUCCAAGUCGCCACGACCACAGGCACACACCCUGAG
rnacentral:antisense_RNA from 1 species